rnacentral:tRNA from 1 species
UGCAUCGGCCGGGAUUCGAACCCGGGGCGCCCGCGUGGCAGGCGAGCAUUCUACCACUGAACCACCGAUGG